rnacentral:SRP_RNA from 2 species
GCUGGGUGUGGUGGCGCAUGCCUGUAAUCCCAGCUACUCAGGAGGCUGAGGCAGGAGAAUCGCUUGAACCCAGAAGGCAGAGGUUGCAGUGAGCCAAGAUCAUGCCACUGCACUCCAGCCUGGGCGACAGAGUGAGACUCUGUCUCUA